CGACGUCCUGUGCAUGCGGUUUUAUUACGACUGUGUCACAGGGCUGGAGAGGAAGGCCAGCCGGAUUGCGCUGCUUCGCACAAGGCUGUGGAUGCCAGGUGCAGAGGUCUCCGGUGGAGCAACCACCGCUCGGGGGAUGCAGGCUGCGCCUGCCCAAGCGUUCCCGAGGUUUGAGUUCCUUGUGAUCAGCAGAUCGGUGGCCAAGGCGUUCUCCACCUGGCACAAGAAGGCUGCAGGAA